rnacentral:rRNA from 1 species
UACGUAGGGGGCAAGCGUUGUCCGGAAUCAUUGGGCGUAAAGCGCGUGUAGGCGGUUCGGUAAGUCCGCUGUGAAAGUCCAGGGCUCAACCCUGGGAUGCCGGUGGAUACUGUCGGACUAGAGUACGGAAGGGGCGAGUGGAAUUCCACGUGUAGCAGUGAAAUGCGUAGAGAUGUGGAGGAACACCGAUGGCGAAGGCAGCCUCCUGGGCCAGCACUGACGCUCAUGCACGAAAGCGUGGGGAGCAAACAGG